rnacentral:lncRNA from 1 species
AAAUUCGUCAAAACUGUCUGUGUAGAUCAGCUUUUAAAUUAAAUUAAAAAUUAUAUUUAAUAAUGAUAAGUCGUGAUGAUGUUUGAAACAUCAUCAUGAUGGUUUUGUUUUGUAGAAAAAAAAAAGAAAGAAAACGGUGGAAAGAAAGAGUUGGACAAAGAAAGGAAAGAAUCCAAGGCAAAAGAGGAGUAGAUGCGGGGAGGACUGGAAAACAGAGAAAGCAAACGGGACAGCCAAGAGAAGUGGGGAUGGCAAAAUAAAAGAAUAAUAAAAUAAAGAAAAAGGACUGUCAGAUGGAAGGAGGGAAGAGGAUUGGGAGCUGCCUUUGACAGCUAAGAGGUCAGCCGCUGGGUCCAGCUCUCGCCACUUGCGACGAGCCCCAUGAUUCUUUUCUUGGAUCCAGAGGAUGUGAAAAGUAAAGGGAGAGGAGAGAGCUGAGCAGGGGGGCAGCGUGAGACAAGGAGGAAAAUAAAAUAAGAGCUGCGGGGAGGAAAAACGGGGAGAGUCCGGAGGAAAGCUGCCAUUUGGCAGCUUGAGCAGGGGGAGAGCAGAAACCUGCUUUUGGGCUGGCGUGAUUAAGGGGGUCGGGGGAGCGGAAGAAAGGGGCUGCCCUUUGGGCAGCUCGCAGGAACGUGCAGGGCGUGACAGGAAAGGUGAGGCAAGCAAGGGAGAUAGGCAGAGAGAAGGGGAGAGGCGCAGGGAGAGGGAAGUCAGGGAGUGAAGAAAGCUGCAAGCUGUUCUCUCUCUCGGUUUAAACUUUUCAAACUUCUAUUUUAUUUCUGUUUAAUAAUGUGUAAUUAAUUUUAUUUUGGCUAGAGGUUUAAUUCGAAACCAUGAAUAUAUUUGUAAUAUGAAUUGAUUACCUUCGGUUGUGAUUUCAUAAGUUGUGUUUUUUCAAUUUACUUAUCCGUUCGUAUAAAAACUGAUUUGUGUAUGUUGGUUGAGAGUGCACGCUUAAUUUACAUGCAUGAAUUUGAUGCUAGAAUAUAAGUGAAUUUCACCUAAUCGUUAUGAACUUAUUUUCACAAGUAGUAAAGGUUGCUAGUCACAAUCACGUUAAGUAAAUUCUUGGCAAGAGUAUCAUGCUUUUCAUAGUUACGAAUGUCUCGUCAAUGCUUAUAGUUUUCACAAAGUUUAAUGAUCUUUGAUUGUAUCGCUAUUGUGCUUUUUCACGUAGGGGACUUUUGAAGAAUGUUUUGAAUUGUUGUAUGCGUUUUUCCGUCCAAUUCAAUAACUUAAGGAAAACUUGAAGAUUAAAAAAGUGCUGUUCACGGUUAAUCUGGAGUAUUGAGAUUCACAAUUUAUUGAAAGAACAACUGAAAAUCAAUUUAGGUUGCAUAUGUGUCAUGUGUGGAGAAGAACCCUCUAGCUAGUCCGUCAUUUAUCUUUUCAUUUUAAUUUCAUGUUUUUGUAAAUUCUGUAAUUUAUUUAAGUUUAAUUUACUUUUCAUCAAAAUCAAACCCUCCCAUUAUUAAAUUAUAUUAUUUAGUUAGUUUUCUUUAUUGUUAGUCUUUUAAUUUAAUUUCCGUCCAUUUCAGUCCUAGUGUUUAAUUUGAUUGUUUUCAUUAUUUUGAAUCAUUUUAAGUGUGUUUCGAGUUAUUAGAGUUUUUAGCCUAGUUUUGUGUCCUUGAGUCUUAUUUAAUAUUUUUAAAUUAAUUUAGAAUAGAUUAGCAAUCCCUCCUAAUCCCCGGCCUAGAACGAUACCCUACUUACAUCUAUACUACAAUUGUCAAAAAGAGGGUUUAAUUUGUGUGUCAAGUAAUUCUCGCAUCAAAUUUUGGCGCCGUUGCCGGGGAUUAGCAACUUUGCUAAUCCUUUUAUUUUUGUUUUUGUUUAUGUUUAUAUUGGUGUUUGUGUAUUUUACUUUUGAUAUUUGAUUUAUUUUUCUUUCUUUGAUUUUAGGUUCAAAUGGAGCCGAGGGAAAUUUAAAGGAAAGAUGCGUCCGGCUAAAGACGUUAAAUCAAGCGCUUCUUGGGAGGCAACCCAAGUAUUCAACGAAAGGGAGACUUUGGAAUCGCUAACCCAAUCAGCUUUGCAUUCUUCCACCCUUAUCUUUACUGCUUUCAUUUUGUUUUGUUUAGUUAGUUGUGUUAUUUGGUUGAUUUCUGUCAGUUUAUAUUAUUUAGUUUAAGUAUGGGGGAAGGUUAACCAAAGUCUCUUUACAUUAAUUUACAUUUAAAAAAAAAAAAAAAAAAAAAAAAGUACAAAUAUUUUACAAUAAUGUAAACUAAUAGUAUUCAUUGGUCGGGUGGUGCUUCAGUAGUAGGCGGGGCUUCAGCAGUCGGCGGGGCCACAGAAGGAGGAGGCGGCAGAGGUUGAUCAGUUGGAGCUUCACUACGCGGUGCCGCCCCAGAAGACGAAGGCAGAUGCGGUUGGAACAAACCCACAAACCUCCGAUGAUCAAGUAAAAUUUGACCAUCGGUGUCCUGCAUCUGGUCAAUCUUCCUCUUCAUGCUGGUGGCAUAGCUGUGUGCGAGCUUGUGCAAUUCCUUAUUCUCAUGCUUGAGCCCUUUAAUCUCUUGCUUGAGACUCUGUAUUUCAGCCACCAAGGAUUCAACGUGACGGGUUCGGGCAUAUAGGCGUUGGGCCAUGUUGGACACGGAACCGGCACACUGCACGCUAAGAGCCAGAGACUCCUUAACCGCCAAUUCAUCAGACCGUCUAGCGAGCAGUCUGUUAUCUCUGGGGGUGACAAGGUUUCGGGCCACCACCGCAGCGGUCAUGUCAUUUUUCAUCAUCGAAUCCCCCACGGUAAGGGGACCGGUAGGGGAUAUGAAGGAUGGCCGCCAUAUGUUGUCUGGUGAAGGCGGAGCUGCCUCUUCACCAAUGUUCAAGUCAAAACGACGAUCAGAAGGGCCAGACAUUUUUCAGAGGUGGUAAAGAAUGAAGAGAGUUGGACUGAUCAAGAUUAAACAAGUGCAAGAAGGGAGUGUUUACAGGAGGGAGCUCAAGUGUGUGUUGUGGAACAAGCUUAACGUCUCUAUAAAAAGGAAGAAAUCAAAGAGGCGCUCCUCAGAGAAGCGUCCUCUCGCAAAUCGAAGAGUCGGGGCUCCGUUCUCAAACGUCUGAUUCUUUUCUCAAAAGAGGAGUUUCCUUUCUCAAAAGCCGGAUUCUUUUCUCAAAAGAGGCGUUUCAUUUCUUAAAGGCUGGGCUUGCUCAGAAACCACGAGCCGAACCCCGGAUUUCAAAAGAUCAAUUUGUCCAGAUGUGUCGUCACUUGUCACACGCAAAUUGCUUUGCGGAAAUCUCGGGCAAUUUGUCGAAGCACCAAUUCAGAAAUCGAAGAGGGAAAUUCAACAGUCAAAGACACGCUAGCUUUCUCAAAAGCUGGGCUUCAACCCACGGGAAAAUCUUCUUUUCCAGAUUUAUCCGCACGUGUCACAUGCUACCUCUACAAUCGACGAUGCUCAGAGCUCGAAGCGCCGAUUACAGAUAUCAAUGAGGAAUCAGCUUUGCGGAAAUUACGGGCAGCUUUGUCAGAAAGCGCGUAAUUUGUAUUCUUCACCCAUCCACCGGCUGCCGACACUAAGUGAGAGAACAGUUCCGGUUGUGAAGACAAGUCCUAUAAGUUUCUACCUUCGCCUUCCACAGCAAAAGCACACUCUCUCAGCACACCCUCUCAACACCUCUUCAUCUCCGAAAAUGCAUUCCCAAAGAAUCCUCUCGAGUCACUCUGUGUUCCUCAUUCCUUGGGAUACUCCUGCGAACAACCCAUUCAAAGCAAAAGUAUUUCAUAUCAUAAAGGUUGAAAGCAAGAGUAUCUCAUAUCAUUGCUUUCUCCAUGUCCUUCUCCUUGUCUUUGUUUUCCGACAAGGAGAAAGAGAGCAAUCAGCCAGCAUUUGGUAUCAAUCUUCCAAUCUGGAGCCAACUGCCUGGAACCCUUUCCUGAUUGCUUACCUAGCCUUGCUCUCGAGUACUCAUCUUCAUCAUUUUAUGCUUUCUCUUCGUCUACCACAUCUGCCUGGGGGACAGUAAGGGAAGUGAAAAUGAUACCUCGAAGCAUGUGGAGACAAUUCAGCUAGGGACAAGGAGAAAGAAAGCAAGAGGUGGGCACUUGGAAAGAUUGAAGAAAGAAAUAAGGACCAACACCUUUCCCUCGUGCCUGCCCGUUGUGCAGAAGAAACAAGCAGAGAAGAAUGCAGCUUGCACAAUCAUCCCAGCGGAAGGAGUCCGAACUGAGGAACUAGAGAAGCUGCCACAUCUGCUUGGAGAACAAAUAAGGAACUGCAACAUCACCAAAGAGCAAAGCUUCGCCGUACAAUAUCAUCAAAUCAUCACUUGCAAGUAAAAAGCUAAGUGUCACCCUGUUCAAGAGGAAAGCUGUGGAAAGUCAACAAGCACGACCAAUGAUUACUUAUUAAUUUUAUUCAUUAUCUUUUAUCGUAAUUUUCAAUUUUUCGUUUGCAAUUUUUUUUUUAAUUAAUUUUCUUGCGUACUUAACUGAAUUUUUCCUUUUCUUUGCAGGAACUUUUGGUUAUUUCCACCCUUGAAGUUGAUUGCAGAAUUUUAGCUUGAGGGUCAUCGCUUGAUUUUACUGCAAAUUAGGGAAGUUUUCAGUCCCAUUGUUUUAUUUUGUUUCUUAUUAUUUAUUUAUUUAUUUUAUUUUUAUUUGCGUUAUAGUGUUUUCUGACAUUGGGGACAAUGUCAAGUUUAAGUGUGGGGGUAGAAAUCUCUAGAAUUUCAUUUGUUUCUGUGUUGUUGCUUUUUAUUUUUUUUUUAGUUUUGUUUUCUCUAUAAAAAAAAAAAUCGGAAAAUUUAAAAAAUCCAAAAAUAUUGUCUUGUUUCCCUUAUUGUUUUGAAUUAGAUUUUUUGUUAGUUUCCCGACCCAAUGAUAUAAUUAGAUCAAAUUUGAAUCAUGAUUAUCAAGAACUUAGUUAUCAUGUGUUUUGUGAAAUUCCUAAUUCUCUUGUUAGUUUUGUACAUGUUUGAUCAUCUUUGAAAAACCAAAUGCACAUAGCCUUGUUAAUGUGAAACUAAAGUAUGACUUAAAGCUUCAUAUGUGAAUUUAGUGACCAUAUACAUCCUAUGUGAGUUUUUGAGCCUAUUGAAAGUGUGUGCAUUUUUCAUACACUCCUAUUCUUUCAUGUGUGAUGAACUUAUGUGAGAUACAUCUCUAGAACUUGCGUAACGAUCUUUCGAAAUGUUUGUCAUUGAUUGCAUGAACUUGGAAAUGAUGGAGGCAUUAAGUUUACCACCAUGGCCCAAAUAACCAUGUUUCCCAAAGAAAAAUGAUAUCAUUAGAUUGCCAAUUUGAGCCGUAUUUGUUGAACCUUUUGUUUCUUAUCACCAGAUAUGUCUACCCUUAUACCUGAAACAUUUUUCCUUACCAUUUCCAAGCGAGCAAUGCGAGAUUGUCUUAUGAGAAACGUUUGUGAAAUACUGUGAAGAUGUUUGGCAAAAGAAUAAGUGUGGGGGUAUUUCAUGUUUGUGAAUUAAAAAAAAAAAAAAAUAAAUAAAAAAAAAUAAAAAAUAAAAUAAAAAAAAGAAAAAAAAAAAAGAAAAAUUGUACACAAAGAAAAUAAAAAGUUAUUCAAGUUUCAGUUUAAGAGUAUGGUUGGAGGUGCUAGAAGAAUUGCUGGAGAGCUUGAGUUCUUAUAAAUCUAAAGAAAAGAAUUGCUUGCAAUGUAGCUUGGAACUUGUGUUUUCCUAUUCUUUCAUUUCAAUAACCCUCUCCUUAAACCUCAUUACGUCCAAUAAAAGUCCUCUUGAUUUAAGUUUUGCAAUUAUGAUUGUGGAGAUGAGAUCUUUAUGCAAGCUUAUGGUAGAAAUUUCACAUUUGAUUCUUUGAGCGAAACACAUUAAAACUAAACACAUGUGUGAUUGAGUGCAUAUCCCGUGAGAAGGUCGCUAGUUUGCAUAUGAUGAUUUUAAAAAUAAAAACUUGAAAUUGCAUUAGCAUGGCUAUCUCACACACUACACCUCAAGGAUGAUUCAAAGAUUACUGCUAAUAUUUGAAUAAGGAAGAUGAAUGUGGAUUAGUUCCUUGAUGCUAGCUAUGGUUCUUGAUGAUUUGUUUUCUCGAAUGAAAUUCUAUGAGGGUCACAUAGGGGGAAGCUAAUGUUUUUCUUGUUACUUCUUGUUCUAGUUUUCUUUGUUUUGCUCGAGGACUAGCAAAAGUUAAGUGUGGGGGUAUUUGAUCGGAUGAUAUUUAUAUAUAUUUUUACUUUGAAUUCACUCGUCUUUUCUUAGUUAGUUCCUUAUAUUUUUGAGCUAUUUACGUUAUUUUUGUGUUUAUAGGAUUUGUUAUGCAAAGAAAAUAAAAAUAGAACAAGUGAAAUUUUAUGUAAUAAAUUCGUCAAAACUGUCUGUGUAGAUCAGCUUUUAAAUUAAAUUAAAAAUUAUAUUUAAUAAUGAUAAGUCGUGAUGAUGUUUGAAACAUCAUCAUGAUGGUUUUGUUUUGUAGAAAAAAAAAAAAAAGAAAGAAAACGGUGGAAAGAAAGAGUUGGACAAAGAAAGGAAAGAAUCCAAGGCAAAAGAGGAGUAGAUGCGGGGAGGACUGGAAAACAGAGAAAGCAAACGGGACAGCCAAGAGAAGUGGGGAUGGCAAAAUAAAAGAAUAAUAAAAAUAAAGAAAAAGGACUGUCAGAUGGAAGGAGGGAAGAGGAUUGGGAGCUGCCUUUGACAGCUAAGAGGUCAGCCGCUGGGUCCAGCUCUCGCCACUUGCGACGAGCCCCAUGAUUCUUUUCUUGGAUCCAGAGGAUGUGAAAA